rnacentral:rRNA from 1 species
GACGAACGCUGGCGGCGUGCCUAAUACAUGCAAGUCGAGCGAAGCGGGGACGGGUGAGUAACACGUGGAUAACCUCCUAUAAGACUGGGAUAACUUCGGGAAACCGGAGCUAAACCGGAUACUUAUAGAUGGAUCCGCGCUGCAUUAGCUAGUUGGUAAGGUAACGGCUUACCAAGGCAACGAUGCAUCGCCGACCUGGGCGGGAGGUCGGCCAACCUGGAACUGGGAACAGGGCCAGGACCCUACGGGAGGCAGCAGGAGGGAAAUUUCCGAAAAUGGCGAAAGCCUGACGGAGCAAAGCCGCGUGAGAGAUGAAGGUCUUCGGAUCGGAAAACUCUGUUAAUCGGGACGCGGUACCGGAAUAGAAAGCCACGGCUAACUACGUGCCAGCAGCCGCGGUAAUUC